rnacentral:rRNA from 1 species
AUUGAACGCUGGCGGCAUGCCUUACACAUGCAAGUCGAACGGCAGCACGGGUGCUUGCACCUGGUGGCGAGUGGCGAACGGGUGAGUAAUACAUCGGAACAUGUCCUUUAGUGGGGGAUAGCCCGGCGAAAGCCGGAUUAAUACCGCAUACGAUCUACGGAUGAAAGCGGGGGACCUUCGGGCCUCGCGCUAUAGGGUUGGCCGAUGGCCGAUUAGCUAGUUGGUGGGGUAAAGGCCUACCAAGGCGACGAUCAGUAGCUGGUCUGAGAGGACGACCGGCCACACGGGGACUGAGACAGGGCCCAGACUCCUACGGGAGGCAGCAGUGGGGAAUUUUGGACAAUGGGCGAAAGCCUGAUCCAGCAAUGCCGCGUGUGUGAAGAAGGCCUUCGGGUUGUAAAGCACUUUUGUCCGGAAAGAAAUGCUUGGCCCUAAUACGGUCGGGGGAUGACGGUACCGGAAGAAUAAGCACCGGCUAACUACGUG